rnacentral:rRNA from 1 species
GGCGUGCCUAUACAUGCAAGUCGAGCGAGCAGAACCAGCAGAUUUACUUCGGUAAUGACGCUGGGGACGCGAGCGGCGGAUGGGUGAGUAACACGUGGGGAACCUGCCCCAUAGUCUGGGAUACCACUUGGAAACAGGUGCUAAUACCGGAUAAGAAAGCAGAUCGCAUGAUCAGCUUAUAAAAGGCGGCGUAAGCUGUCGCUAUGGGAUGGCCCCGCGGUGCAUUAGCUAGUUGGUAAGGUAACGGCUUACCAAGGCGAUGAUGCAUAGCCGAGUUGAGAGACUGAUCGGCCACAUUGGGACUGAGACACGGCCCAAACUCCUACGGGAGGCAGCAGUAGGGAAUCUUCCACAAUGGACGCAAGUCUGAUGGAGCAACGCCGCGUGAGUGAAGAAGGUUUUCGGAUCGUAAAGCUCUGUUGUUGGUGAAGAAGGAUAGAGGUAGUAACUGGCCUUUAUUUGACGGUAAUCAACCAGAAAGUCACGGCUAACUACGUGCCAGCAGCCGCGGUAACACGUAGGUGGCAAGCGUUGUCCGGAUUUAUUGGGCGUAAAGCGAGCGCAGGCGGAAGAAUAAGUCUGAUGUGAAAGCCCUCGGCUUAACCGAGGAACUGCAUCGGAAACUGUUUUUCUUGAGUGCAGAAGAGGAGAGUGGAACUCCAUGUGUAGCGGUGGAAUGCGUAA